rnacentral:misc_RNA from 1 species
GUGAAUCAGCAAAUUUUUGAACGCAAAUUGCACUCUCUGGGAUUCCGGAAAGUAUUCCUGUUUGAGGAUCAGUUAAAUAAAAAUCGGUGUUGUUUGUGCCUUUCGUUGUGACGCGGCGGAAUUGAGUUUUUUUACGUUCGUUUAAGUUACUUAUAAUUUUGCAUGAUUUUUUAUUGUGUUUAAAUGGCUUACGUACGUUUUAAAUAUCGUAUAGUGUAUUAGGGUCGAUCAUCUUUAUAAUAC